UGAUGACAAUUCUCCGGAAUCUCUGUACUUCAUUGAUGACCUCCUUUGAACCCUAUAUUCUGAUGACUGUUGAUGCUGACGUUAUU
ensembl:snoRNA